AAAGUUGUGGUGAUUGAAUGAAUCGUUCGGCACAUUUUCAAUGGUCAUGACUCAAUCACAAUGUCUUUACAGUGACCCGGAGUGCCAAAGACAGGCCAUUUAACUACACAUGUCAGUGAGAUUUCCCAUGUGCUUCUGUGAAACAUCCGUCUUCUCUAAAUGGCCUAUGUAAAGCCCAGUGGGAUUUCCAAGGCAAUGUACAGACCUCCCCAGGCCCAGCCCGAGCCUUCUCCCCAGUUUUGAAAGAUUCUAACUUUCAUUGCUUUCCUGAGGACAACACGAGAGCUCUUCCUCACCCCGGGGAGGAGACAACUCGAAGGCACAGUGAGCUGAACUACUCAACAAGAGUCUGGGUUUUCAAGAUGCUGUGUGUUCCCCAGGCUCCAAUACAGCAUUCAUUCCUGGCCCUCGAAUCUGUGUCCACUAAGGAAAACUCUUGGGGUGGGAGAGAUGUCUUCACACUGGCUGCUCUUGCAGAGGACUGGGGUUUUCAUUCCUAGCACCCACGCGACAGCUUCCCAACAGUCUGUCACUAGUUCUAGAGCACCAGAUGCCCACUUCUCUCCUCUUUAGGCAACAGGCUUGCACGUGGUUCACAUCCAAACAAGCAGGCAAAACACUCA